rnacentral:tRNA from 1 species
UUCUUAGUGGCUCAGAUGGUAGAGAAUCUGCCUGCAAUGCAGGAGACCCAGGUUCAACCCCUGGGUCAGAAA